GCCUCGGUGGUGUAGUGGUAGCACCUUGCGUCCCCGGUAUAGAGGAAACGAGGGUUCGACUCCCGCCUGAGGCC